UGGCUCCUGGCUGGAUUCAGGUCUGCUGGGAUCCCUAAGGCUUCCAGGGAAGGCACGUCUCCGGCAUCCAUGCAGUGAGCAACAGUGCCCGACUCUGUGUUCAAAACAUGAAGCUUGAACCAAGUGGGUGAGAGCGCCCUGCUCCAACAACCUCAAGGCACAAUUCUGACCCUUCCAGGAAUCUCUUGGCCACCAACAGCAACCUGCAACUUGGGACAAGCAACAGAGGCAUCGCAGGAGGCACAGGCCUUUACUUCUACCUGUCCUCAGAGGCUGUCACCCUGUCCCUCACCUCUGAGGUCUUCCCACAUCAUGAACUGGUUGGAUGCCUGCCUGGCACCUCGUUCCAGGUAAGCGAGAGCCAGGCGACCCCUUGUCCUGCUUAGUCCCCGUUUCCUUUCUUCUAGUUUUCUCUCUUGGAAAAGAUAUUGGCAGGUUUAUAAAAGCGUAAAUCAAAACCAACUGAGAUUGGAGUUCCCAUCAUGGCUUAGCGGAAACGAAUCUGACUAGCAUCCAUGAGGAUGCAGGUUCAAUCCCUGGUCUUGCUCAGUGAGUUAAGGAUCCGGCAUUGCCGUGAGCUGUGGCGUAGGUCGCAGAUGCGAUUCGGAUCUGGCGUUGCUGUGGCUGUGGCAUAGGCUGGCACCUACAGCUCUGAUUGGACCCCUAGCCUGGGCACCUCCAUAUGCC
rnacentral:lncRNA from 1 species